ACGGCCGCGGUACCCUAACCGUGCGAAGGUAGCAUAAUCACUUGUUCUUUAAAUGGGGACUCGUAUCAACGGCAUCACGAGGAUCUUACUGUCUCCCCCCUCCAAUCAGUGAAACUGAUCUCUCCGUGAAGAAGCGGGGAUACCCAUAUAAGACGAGAAGACCCCAUGGAGCUUUAAACCCGAUGACACCCAUUUACCUCUACACCCUGAUAUUUUAUCUGGCCGCUGUUCACUCGGUUUUAGGUUGGGGUGACCGCGGAGUACAACUUACCCUCCGUGAAAAAGGGACACUAGUCCUUAUCAAAGAGCAACACCUCUAAGAAUCAAUAAAUUGAUUUACAAUGAUCCGAUAUUCGAUCAACGAACCAAGUUACCCUGGGGAUAACAGCGCAAUCCACCUCAAGAGCCCCUAUCGACAGGCGGGUUUACGACCUCGAUGUUGGAUCAGGGCAUCCCAGUGGUGCAGCAGCUACUAAUGGUUCGUUUGUUCAACGAUUAAAGCCCU
rnacentral:rRNA from 1 species